rnacentral:rRNA from 1 species
UUGGCGGACGGGUGAGUAACGCGUGGGGAACCUGCCUUGCACCGGGGGAUAACACUUAGAAAUAGGUGCUAAUACCGCAUAAGCGCACAGAGCCGCAUGGCUCGGUGUGAAAAACUCCGGUGGUGCAAGAUGGACCCGCGUCUGAUUAGCUGGUUGGCGGGGUAACGGCCCACCAAGGCGACGAUCAGUAGCCGGCCUGAGAGGGUGAACGGCCACAUUGGGACUGAGACACGGCCCAAACUCCUACGGAAGGCAGCAG